CGCAAGCUGAAGCAAUUUUUACAAAUGAUAUGCAGCAGUUCAUAAAUCGAUAAAUUUUGAAUGGUACCAUUGUGUUUCCCGGAUAGUUUCCUUUAGUCUCAAAUGACUCUUUUUGUCUGCAAGCUAGAGGUGUCUGAAAUCCUUACUAAUAAGUUGGCAUGGGAGGAAUGUAUGAAUUCAACUCCUUUCUUACCCUCUGCUCUCCUUUAAUUUGUUGUUCUUCUUACCCUGUGAGUUUAUGCUAAAAUCAUGUUAUUUAUGUCUUUUAUUUAUUUCAUGCAUUCUCCACAGCAUUUUUUCUUUGCUGAUCUGUAGCCCAAGGAUUCAAAAAUCCUUCAUCGCCUCAUCACAAACGUCUUUCCUUAUCUGUUGCUGAAGAACCUGCAGUAGAUGGACUCCCUGUCUUGCUGAUUUCCCAGAAAAGGUACAAAAUCUUCCCCCAUCUUGCUCUCCUGUUGCUAAGUUGAAGUUGCUACUGCUGCAGUGCUGUCAGUGCUCAUUAAGGAUCUCAGUCUCAUGUAAAGAAGGAACCAAAGAGAAGCAGAAAAAUUCUAAAACUGGGUCUUCUGGAAAUAUGCAGUCUCCUAUCAAAGUGGUCCUAUGGAUCAAGAAUGUAGAAAUCAAGAAUAGGUAAACUUCAUCAGCUGCUUAGUCUAUUAUUCUUCAAGAAGAAGAAAUAUGAGUGUUAAGCAGAGAAAUUAAGUAGUUGCACAAAUUAUUGAAGCUUAUGUAAAAUUUUGUGUAUGCAAAAUCCUUGAAAUGUUGCUAGAACAUUGCUUCAUGGGAUGGAAAAGAAUGUUGUAUCUCACAGAAAGCAGUAAUGUCAUCUAGUCUUGGCUGAACUUGGACAGCUGAAAUCAUCUCCACAAAGAGAGAGAUACUACACUUCACUGAAGCACACAUUUGUGUGUAUGAAGCAAUAGGUGGAUGUGCUAAUAACUCGAUUUCAGUAUUGAUGGAAGGAAUAGGAGAAUGGCAGUAAGGAGUGGAGAUUUGCUUCUGAAAGGAAUACUAGAAGGUUGCCAAGGAGUAGAUAGCAUAAAAAUACAUAUCUUUUCCCAGUCUUGGGAUUUCUCUCAUGAAUGCAAUCUCUGGAUAUAAUACUUGCAAAAACUUUUACACAAAUUUACACAGCUGCAUAUCAAUGUUUUUCAAUAUCAAUAUCAACGAUGGGUUUGAUGAAAAACAAACUAGGCUGUAUAGAUUGAAACUUCUGAGUUCAUUCUGCUGUGGUCUGCUGAGAAGAGUGGGCUGCAAUCUUCUGGUGAGCACAAAUAGCUUGAAAAUCAUGACAUUUAGUAAAAUAUUGGGAAGAGCAAUUGAAUACAAAUCAGUUUAUAGAACAUAUUUAAGCAUUAUUUUUGAUAUUUGAGAAUGGAAAUUGCUUUUAAAAAAUGGGUAAAACUUUAUAAGAACAUUGCUUAUAAAAGAUCUACUAAUUUUACUUAAAUGUUAUCAGUAAGAUAUCCAUAAUGUGAAUUUGAGGAAGCAUUUUCAGUUACUUUAGUUACUUACAUUUUCCUUAGAUAACAUGCUAUUGGGAACCUGCAUGGGUACCUUUUUGCAUAAUGGCAUGCUCUGAGAUUAUUGGCUAUGCUUUUUCUCUAGUGCUGAAGUUAAUUUCAUAAAUUUGAACUAAGUACAUUUUGUAUUAGGAAUUAGGAGAAAAGAGUUAAUUACAGAUUAGUUGCAUCUACUGUCUCCUUCUGAAAAUCUAAUUCUGAAAAACCCUUUCAACACAAAAAAAAAAAAAAAAGAAAAAAUAAAAAAGAAAAAGCCUGAAUUAGUCUUUAGAAAGCACAGCAAAAGAAAAAAAUAUAUAUACAUCUUUGAGGCAAAAGAAAUCUUUUUCUUUACUGAAGUCAAAUAAUACUAGCUUGUGAAUAACUAUUAUUUCAUACAAUUUUUUGUCAGGAUUUAAAAAAGGAAAGUGGUGUCAUUAUAAGCAAAACCUGUGAUAAAUAAUUGAAUCUCGCUGAGAUAUUCAUUUUAAUAACAUUUGUUCUGAAUGCCCAUGAAAAGCAUAAUGACUUCCAAUGAGCUAAGUCCUUUAAAACUUUCUUCAGAUCUGUUCUGUAAUUCAAAGAGAAUAAAUCUAGAAUAUUCUGUGAUAUUCAAACCUUGUAUAGUUAACUGUAUUAGAAGUCUGCUUCAAAUCAAAAUUAGUUCGAAGAUGGUUUAUAGAAUGAAAAUGAAUAAUGCUUGUGCUUCUUCAAAUUUGCUUAUAAAACCAAAUAUUCUUUUCAUGUUUUCAAAAUAAUAUUGGUUUAGAAGCAAAUAAUAUACACAUAAUCAUAUUAGGCAAUAUUAUCCUUUCUUUAAAAAAAUAAAAAAGUUCUGCAAUCUCUACUCAAAUAUCACAUAAAAUUACUUAAAAAAAUACUGUUUUUUUUCUAAGAAAAAAUAUUUUUUCAUCUUAUUUGAAA
rnacentral:lncRNA from 1 species